rnacentral:rRNA from 1 species
UGGGGAAUAUUGGACAAUGGGCGCAAGCCUGAUCCAGCCAUGCCGCGUGAGUGAUGAAGGCCCUAGGGUUGUAAAGCUCUUUCACCGGUGAAGAUAAUGACGGUAACCGGGGAAGAAGCCCCGGCUAACUUCGUGCCAGCAGCCGCGGUAAUACGAAGGGGGCUAGCGUUGUUCGGAUUUACUGGGCGUAAAGCGCACGUAGGCGGACUUUUAAGUCAGGGGUGAAAUCCCGGGGCUCAACCCCGGAACUGCCUUUGAUACUGGAUGUCUUGAGUAUGGUAGAGGUAGUGGAAUUCCGAGUGUAGAGGUGAAAUUCGUAGAUAUUCGGAGGAACACCAGUGGCGAAGGCGGCUCACUGGACCAUUACUGACGCUGAGGUGCGAAAGCGUGGGGAGCAAACA